UUUAUUGUGACGCAUGCAUAAGUAAUCGCCCAAACAACUAUUUGCGUCACUUUGGAAGGAACGCCGGCGGUAGGAAGGAAAACAGACGCCAUGUUGGAAAAUAUGUAUAUUUUAUUUUUUUAUGGUAGAAAGUGGUAGAUUAUUCGUUAAAACUCAUAUUUACUUUAGUAACAAUCACAAUGAAGGUUUUCAGUAAUGAUGGAAAGGAAAAUGAAACGAAGAAAUCGGGAUUUAACGGAGGGAAAGUGUUGAAAAAACUUAUUUUGAAAGCUGAAAAACGAAAAUCUUUAGCUGAAAAUUUCCGUAUAUAUGCUGUUCUACAGUCCACAAUUACCAGGUUAAAACUAGAUAAUACUUCUUUGAAAGUGAAAAAUAUAUCUUGUAAUAGAUUUGGAAACUUUAGAACUUCUUGUAGUGUAGAAGGGAUGAAUUCGGACAAGUGCUAUCUACAAUCUGGUUGUGUUCAAAGUUCUAACAGUCCGGUUGAUCAUGAUGAUCAAGACCUACUAAAUUUGAAUACUUUCUUUGAGGAACUGAAGAGCAGAUGAUGUUGUAUAACAUAUUUUUCCAGUUGCCAGUAUUCUGUUUUGUGAUUUUUUUUAUUGUUUUCCAAAUGCGACGCGUUUAUUUUUAGCGUGUUCAAGGUAGUCCAACCAGUUUAUUUUGUGAGAGAAGAGCAGUGUACUGUUUGUCACAGUACAUAUGGUCAGUAAGAGGUCCACAGAUACAGUAGCCUGUUAUCUGUAAAGUUUUCACAUGAAUACGUUUUGGGAGGAAUGAAAUCUGUUGGUAAUAUAAGUUGAAUUUAUUACAAGAUAUGUGCCGGUGAUAUUGAAUGAAAAGGUGAAGUCUCAUUAUAUGUGCCCAUGAUGUUGCUGUUGGAUGUAGCCUAGUCCACAGUAGAGAUGCAUCAAGAUGGAUAGCCAUUACAGUAAUACAGAUAAAUUUUAGGGACUUCUUGCAAGUUGAGUCAGCCUCUGGUGGAGAAAUAAGAAAAGCUGUAAGAAGUUCAAAGGAAAAUGUCUUUAAUUGUCAUGUAUAACAAGUUUCUCCACAGGCCCCAUUGCCGUGUAGAUUGAUCAUCAUGUGAAGUCCCUUAAUGUCCCCAUUGAACAAAAAUUAAAUGAUGAAAGUAUCAUUUGUGCCAGAUCCAUAAGAAACAUCGCUGCUACAGUUGUGAGAAGUUUAUGAAAAAGAAUUGGAGGGUUGCAUUAAUUAGAAUUUAGACUUGUGCGACUGAAAAAUAAAUCGUAUAACACUGUUACAUUGAGGGAAACAGGGCUGUACAGUAAUGAACAUGAUGAAAAGGUGACAUUUUUUUUCACAACAGCUUUUAAAGAUUUGGGGAGAGUUAAUACGCAGCGUGUAAAACAUUUGUAAUCUCUACAUAGUUUGUUCGACAGUCAACUUCAGAAGUAAAAAGCUACAAGAAUUGUAUUGUAACGAUUUUUCUUCAUGAUUAAUAUACUGGACUUAUUGUGAGAAAAACAUUUAUUCAUCUUGUGUGGACUGGAAAAUAUUUCCAUCCAGUAUUAACUGUCAUUGAAAGGUCUUUAAAUGUUGAAUCAUCAACAGUGCCAUGUUCAAGGUCAUUGAAACAAGUAAAGUACCAUUGAUGUAGAGGAAUGCAACCAGUGCAUUGUGGUAUCAACUUCACUGAAAAAGUUUAAUUGGCGUCUGAUGCAGAAAUGAGCUAUUACAAUUCUACAAAAGAGCAGGAAGAAAAAUGUCCUUGGCCACCAGUAGCAAGUUUCUCUGGUCAUCAGUAACACAUUUCUCAGUGAUAAGUGGACGGGACAUCCUUGUUUACUCAUCUUGUAGUCUCCAUUUGCUCUUUGCUCUUAGAACUUUUUUCAUGAUGACCUCCUCCAUACUGCCGCAUCAGAAGAUUGUCAUCAAACAUAGACACUGACCAAGGUUGGCUUAAUUGAACAUAAGCUUUACAGAAUAGAAGAGUUUCAAAAGUUGAUGUUAAAAUUAACAAAAUUUCAUAGUUUACCAGUAAAAAAAAUUAGAAAUGUUCCUAUUUAACCUUUGGAAAUUUGAAAUCAGUUUGUUAUUAGGUGCUGAUGCAGAAAUACAGUUUUGAGAAAGUUCGUGUUCAAGCAAGAUGAAAAAUGGCCUUUAUCAUCAGUAGAAAGUACUCUUAAUGGGUUAAUGUCUACGCUUUCCAAACAGAAACGGUAAACACCUGACAUUGAGGGAUACAGUAGAGAUUGUAUAAUAGAAUAAGGUUGCUUGUAAAGAGGGUGACUGAAAAGGUGAUGUUGAUAUAAGAGGUAUUUCUUUGGUGUUAGAUUCAGCGAGGUAAUAUAAAAUGCAGGAAAUAAUUAUGUGCAGCAUAUAAACCAUUAGUCAUCUCUAGAUUGUUAAUUAAAUAAUUGGUCUUUAAAGUUAAAAAUGUUUGUACUUAACCCAUUGUUGGAAAUAUGAAACCGGUUCUUUUCAGGUAUGAUAAGCCUUUGAUGCAGAAAUGAGUCUUGAAAAGUGCAUAUUAAAGUGCUGGUCAUCUGUAAGAAGUUUUUUAGUGAUAAGAGGUCAGGACGUUAUUAUUUGGUAGAUGUUUCUUCAUCUUGAGCAGCUCGCCCGCUUAGCUCAGUAGGAAGAGCAUUGGUCUACGGAUCACGGGGUCACGAGUUCAAUCCUUGUGCGGGGCAUAUGUUCUCCAUGAUCAGACAUUAUGUCUACAAUCAUUCGUUCUCUGCCUCUGAUCAUUCAUGUGGGGAAGUUGGCAGUUACUUGUGGAGGACAGGUUUGUACUUGUACAGAAUGCAGAAACACUGGUUAGGUUAACUGCCCACCGUUACAUGACUGAAAUGCUGUUAAAAAACGGCGUUAAACCCAAAACAAACCAAUCAUCUUGAGCAGUCUCCAUCAUCUUGGAACAGUUUCCAGUUAGUAUUUACAUCUUAAUCAUGAAAAAACUAAAAAAAAUUCAUGAUUAAGAUGUACAUACUGUCACUUCCAAAGAUGAGGUUGUUGAGCAGAAAUUGAAAGCAGCAAUUGGCAAAGCAUGCCUUAUUAUGUAAUGGAAUCAGCUUGACUUAAAGAGGACUUUUAAGAGGUUAUGCCUAUAUUAGCAUUAUUUCUUUCAUAAAAUUUAUAUUAAGUGAAAUUACUUAAGUUUUUACAUAGAUUUUUUCCACAACUUUUGCAAAUCAGGAAGCAUGGAAAACUGUUCUAGAUAGUUUAUUUUAUAGUUGGCUUUAAAAGAUAGGAAUGUUUAAACUUAGCCCAUUGGUUGCAAAUAUGAAACCAGAUCGUUUCAGGUUUAAUCAGCCUGUGUUGCAGAAAUAAGCCAUAUCAACGCCAUGUUCAAGCAGGAAGAAAAAUGGCCUUGGUCAUUUGGAACAAGGUUCUCCACGAUUUCCCUGGUCAUCAGUAUGAAGUCCCUGGCCAUCUGUAGCAAGUACCUCAGUGAUGAGUAGACUAGACCUCAUUAUUGCAUAACAGUUUCUUCGUCUUUGGGAGACUCGGAUAUUCUCUGUAGAAGUUUGUACAUGAUGAAUGGUACUGCCUUAUAUGAAGACCUGGUUAUUGAUUAGAUAUUGUAUAAAGCCAUUGACAGAAUUUGAGCCAUAAAGGUUGGAUAAUUUUGAUGUUAAUGGUACAGGUAUUUCUGAAAAAUUAAUCUGUGAAAGUUUAUGCAAGCUUUCUUUACAAUAGCUUUUAAAGGUCGGGAAAGAAUUUAUAUACAAGUGUGAAACAUUUUUCAUCUGAAUGGUUCUUUCUACAGUCUGCUCUGAAAGUAAGAAAUGCUUCUAUUUUACCAAUCAUUUGGAAAUGUGAAACCAGUUUGUUUCAGGUGUAAUAAGCCGCUGAUGCAGAAAUAUGUCAAAGAUAAAAGAAAGUUAAUGUCUUUGGUCAUCUGGAAUGUGUGUUGGUCCUCAUUGUUGCAUAUACUUGCCUUUUAUUUGUUGCGAACUCCCAUAGAACUGUUGUUAAGUCAUGAUGAAUACGACAACAGUGCCGUGUCCAAGGAAAUUGAAAAGAAAUUAAACCAUAUUGAUGGGUAUAAAUAGGGACUGAGUAAGGGAAUAAACUUGUCUUACGAGAGGGACUUGGAAAAGAUGAUGUUGAAGUUCCAGGUAUUUGUUUCACAUUGUCAUAGAUUUAUAAUUGAAAGGUUACAUAAGUUUUUACAUAGACUUUCUCACAACAGCUUUUUAAAGGUACACAUUAACCAAGAACCUUUCGCAAACCAGGAUACUUCAUUAUACAGUUAAAUUCAAAAUAGAGAAAUGUUUGUACUUGGAAAUAUGAAGCCAGUUCAUUUCAGAUUGAAUGAGGUUGUUAACAGAAAAGUCCAUAUAUAAAAGCUAGAAGAAAAUCGUCCCUGACUACCUGUAAUCCAUAACUUAAUGAUGUCUCCAAUUAUUCUAAAUGACUUUAUUAGUGGCUAGAGGAUGCUUCAUCUUGAACAAUCUCCGGAUAAUAUCCCCUCGGAGCCUUUUUCAUGUUGCUGACAUAAAUAUUGCCAUAUGCAAAGAUUAGAUCAUUGAAAAGGAAAUUUUAAAGUCCUAGACCAAGGGUGAACUACAUAUUGGGAAAGAGGACUUUUCAGAGGUGAGGAUAUUACUAGAGGUAUUUCUUUCGUUAUGAGAAUCAAUCGCUGAAAAAUCGAUAGAAAUUUAACACCAGUCUUAAUCUCAAAACAACUAACAGGUCGGGAAGAAUUUAAAUACAUAGUGGGGAAACAGCUAUAGGUGCUUCAAUUAUUAAUAAGCUUUAAAACAUAGGAACUAGCAUGUUUAAUAAAUUGUUUGGAAAUAUGAAACCAGAACGUUUCAGGUUUAAUAAGCCUCUGAUGCAGAAAUACAGUCAUAACAAGUCCCAUGUUCAAGCUAGAUGAAAGCUGUCCUUGAUCAUCUGUAACAUCUUCUGUCCAUGGUAGAUGUUGCGGAGCUCAUUUUUGUGUAAAUGAUGUGUCCAUCUCUUAUGGAGUCCCCAAAGAACUGCCAUUGAUCAGAAUGAUGAAGCAGUCAACAGUACGUCCAAGGUCUUCGAUAAAAAAAUGAAAAAACACCAAACAUUGAGGGAUACAGUAGGAAUUGUGUUAUGGAAUAAGAUUGACUGAAAAGAGAGCAACUUUGAAAAGGUGAUGUUAAUAUUAUAGGUAUUUCACUCGUGUUAGAUAUAUCGAUAAAAGUUGCAUUAAUUUUUACACAUUAUUUCUCCUAACACCCUUUCAGAGGCAUGAAUUAAUUAGUAUACAUUGCAGAAUACAUUUCUCAACUCUAGGUACUUCAUUUGACAGUUCAAUUUAAAAGAUAAAAAAAUGUUUGUACUUGGAAAUAUGAAGCAAGUUGUUUCAGGUUUAAAGAGGUUCUUGUAGAGAAAAAAGGCAUAACCUGUCCAUAUUAAAGCUAGAAAAAAGCUGUCCCUGACCAUCUGUAAACAUCCGCCAUGAUGUCUCCGAUUGUGUGAAACAAGUUUCUCAGUGACUUGUAUUUUGCCAAGAUGUUUCUACAUCUUGAACAGCCUCCAGAUAAUAUCCCUAUGGAACUUUCUUCAUGUCAACUUUAACAUUGCCAUAUGCAAAGAUUAAAUCAUUGGAGGGAAAUUGUGAAAGGUCACAAGAUCAUGAUGAGACUAGAGGUUAAAUAAACCAGUGAUGCAGAAAUACAGUCGUAACAAGUCGAUGUUCAAGCUAGAUGAAAAACGUCUUAAUCUUCUGUAAAAGCACUCUCCAUGGUUAACGUAGUAGAGCUCAUUCUUGCGUAAUCCUGUCCAUCUAUUCUGGAGUCCCCAAAGAACUGCUAUUGAUCAAUCUUUUCAUGAUGAAGCAGUCAACUGUGCCAUGUCCAAGGUCUUCGUCAGAAAAACUAAAAAAGAAACAACAUUGAGGGAUACAAUUUAUAGGGAUUGUGUAAUGGAGUAAGGUUGACUGAAAAGAGAGCAACUUUGAAAAGGUGAUGUUAAUAUUGGAGGUAUUUCUCUCAUGUUGGAUGACAUAAAUUUUACACAGUAUUUCUCAAAAGAUCUUUUCAAAGGCAAGAAUUAAUAUGUAUACAUUACAGAAUACAUUUCUCAACUCUAGAUACUUCAUUUGGGAGUUAAUUCAAAAGAUAGAAAUGUUUGUACUUGGAAAUAUGAACAAGUUCGUUUCAGGUUUAAUGAGGUUCUACAGAAAAGAGGCAUAACAUGUCCAUAUUAAAGCUGGAAGAAAAAAGUCCAAGACCAUCUGUAAUCUGUUCCUCCAUGAUGUCCCAGAUAAUGUGAAACAAGGUUUUCAGUGACUUCAUUUUUGCCUAGAUGUUUCAUCGUGUUGUACAGCCUCCAGAUAAUUUCCUCUAGUAACUUUUGCCGUAUUUUCCACUUAAAUAUUGCCAGAUCUAAAGAUUAGACCGUUGAAAGAAAAUCGUGAAAAGUCAUUUACCAAAGGUUAACUACAUGACGAGAAAGAGUUUUUAAAAGGUGAUAAUAAGGGUAAAGGUAUUUCUUUGUGGUAUUAAUAUAAAUCUAUGAUAACUUGUACCAGAUGCUUUUUCACAACAGUUUCUAAAGGUCAGGAAAGAAUUUAAAUACGUAGUGGAGAUCAGCACUAGAUAGUUCAUUGAAUUGUCAGCUUUAAAAUUUAGGAAAGUUUCUGUUUAACCCAUUGUUUGGAAAUAUGAAACCAGUUAGUUUCAGGUUUAAUAAGCCAGUGAUGCAGAAAUACAGUCAUAACAAGUCCAUGUUCAAGUUAGAUGAAAAAUGCCCUGGGUCAUCUGUAACAAGUUCUCUCCGUGAUUAAUGUAUUGGAGCUCAUACUAGAGCAAACUUUUACAUCUCUGGUGGAGUCUUGAUGAUGAAGCAGUUAUCAGAGAUAUGUCCAAGGUCAUCGAUAGAAACUAAAAAAAAAAUCUGACAUUGAGGGAGACAGUAGGGAUUGUGUAACAGAUAAGGCUGACUGAAAAGAGCAACUUUGAAUUGGUGAUACUAAUAUUGGAGGUAAUUCUUAUGUUAGGUACAUGUUUCAGUGAAAGGUUACAUGAAUUUUUACAGAACAUUUUUGCACAACAGCUUUUCAAAGGCAGGAAUAACCUUCCCACUUCUAGCUACUUCGUUUAACAGUUAAAUUAAAAUAUGGAAAUGUUUGAACCAAGAAAUAUGAAGUAAGUUCGUUUCAGGUUUAAAGAGGUUCUUAUACAGGAAAGAGGCAUAACAUGGCCAUAUUAAAGUUAGAAAAACACCAUUCCUGACCAUCUGUAACCAUCCACCAUGAUGUGUCUGAUUGUGUGAAACAAGUUUCUCAGUGACUUCUUUUUGGCCUAGAUGUUUCUUCAUCUUGAACAGCUUCCAGAUGAUAUCCCCUUGGAACUUCUUUCAUGUCAACUUUAACAUUGCCAUAUGCAAAGAUUAGGUCAUUGGAGGGAAACUGUGAAAGGUCACAAACCAAGGGUUAACUAGUCCACAGAAAAGGAGUUUUUAAAAGAUAAUGACGAGACUAGAGGUAUCUUUUUCGUGUUAUUAGUAUCAGUCUAUGAAAGAUUAUCGAAGUUUGUCUUGUUUUCUUUCACAACAGCUUCUAAAGGUUAAGAAAGAAUUCAAGUACAUAGUGGAGAUCAGCUCUAGAUAGUUCAUCAAUUGUAUAGUCGGCUUUAAAAUUUAGAAGUUUUGUUUGUUAAACCCAUUGUUUGGAAAUAUGAAACCAGUUCGUUUCAGGUUAAUAAGCCAGUGAUGCAGAAAUACAGUCAUAACAAGUCCAUGUUCAAGCUAGAGGCAAAAUGUCUUGAUCAUCUGUAAAAUAUUCUUCAUGGUUAAUGUACUGGAGCACAUUCUUGCGUAAUCCUGUCCAUCUGUUCUGGAGUCCCCAAAGAACUGCCAUCGAUCAAUCUUUUAAUGAUGAAGCAGUCAAUUGUGCCAUGUCCAAGGUCUUCGACAAAAAAACAAAACAAAAAAAAAGAUUGAGGGAUACAAUAGGGAUUGUGUAAUGGAGUAAGGUUGACUGAAAAUGGAGCAACUUUGAAAAGGUGAUGUUAACAUUGGAGGUAUUUCUCUGGUGUUAGAUGACAUAAAUUUUACACAGUAUUUCUCAAAAGAUCUUUUCAAAGGCAAGAAUUAAUAUGUAUACAUUACAGAAUACAUUUCUCAACUCUAGAUACUUCAUUUGGGAGUUAAUUCAAAAGAUAGAAAUGUUUGUACUUGGAAAUAUGAAGCAAGUUCGUUUCAGGUUUAAUGAGGUUCUACAGAAUAGAGGCAUAACAUGUCCAUAAUAAAGCUGGAAGAAAAAAGUCCAAGACCAUCUGUAAUCUGUUCCUCCAUGAUGUCCCAGAUAAUGUGAAAUAAGGUUUUCAGUGACUUCAUUUUUGCCUAGAUGUUUCAUCGUGUUGUACAGCCUCCAGAUAAUUUCCUCUAGUAACUUUUGCCGUAUUUUCCACUUAAAUAUUGCCAGAUCUAAAGAUUAGACCGUUGAAAGAAAAUCGUGAAAAGUCAUUUACCAAAGGUUAACUACAUGACGAGAAAGAGUUUUUAAAAGGUGAUAAUAAGGGUAAAGAUAUUUCUUUGUGGUAUUAAUAUAAAUCUGUGAUAACUUGUACCAGAUGCUUUUUCACAACAGCUUCUAAAGGUCAGGAAAGAAUUUAAAUACGUAGUGGAGAUCAGCACUAGAUAGUUCAUUGAAUUGUCAGCUUUAAAAUUUAGGAAAGUUUCUGUUUAACCCAUUGUUUGGAAAUAUGAAACCAGUUAGUUUCAGGUUUAAUAAGCCAGUGAUGCAGAAAUACAGUCAUAACAAGUCCAUGUUCAAGCUAGAUGAAAAAUGCCCUGGGUCAUCUGUAACAAGUUCUCUCCAUAACGUAUUGGAGCUCAUACUGAAGCAAACUUUUACAUCUCUGGUGGAGUCUUGAUGAUGAAGCAGUUAACAGUGAUAUGUCCAAGGUCAUCGAUAGAAACUAAAAAAAAAAAUCUGACAUUGCGGGAUACAGUAGGGAUUGUGUAACAGAUGAGGCUGACUGAAAAGAGCAACUUUGAAUUGGUGAUGUUAAUAUUGGAGGUAAUUCUCCUGUCGGAUACAUGUUUCAGUGAAAGGUUACAUGAAUUUUUAAAGAACAUUUUUGCACAACAGCUUUUCAAAGGCAGGAAUAACCUUCCAACUUCUAGAUACUUCGUUUAACAGUUAAAUUAAGAUAUGGAAAUGUUUGAACCAAGAAAUAUGAAGCAAGUUCAUUUCAGGUUUAAAGAGGUUCUUAUACAGGAAAGAGGCAUAACAUGGCCAUAUUAAAGUUAGAAAAACGCCAUCCCUGACCAUCUGUAACCAUCCACCAUGAUGUGUCUGAUUGUGUGAAACAAGUUUCUCAGUGACUUCUUUUUGGCCUAGAUGUUUCUUCAUCUUGAACAGCUUCCAGACCAUAUCCCCUUGGAACUUGUUUCAUGUCAACUUUAACAUAGCCAUAUGCAAAGAUUAGGUCAUUGGAGGGAAACUGUGAAAGGUCACAGACCAAGGGUUAACUAGUCCACAGAAAAGGAGUUUUUAAAAGAUAAUGACGAGACUAGAGGUAUUUCUUUCGUGUUAUUAGUAUCGGUCUAUGAAAGAUUAUCGAAGUUUGUCUUGUUUUCUUUCACAACAGCUUCUAAAGGUUAAGAAAGAAUUCAAGUACAUAGUGGAGAUCAGCUCUAGAUAGUUCAUCAAUUGUAUAGUCGGCUUUAAAAUUUAGGAAGAUUAAGUUUGUGUUUAACCCAUUGUUUGGAAAUAUGAAACCAGUUCGUUUCAGGUUAAGUAAGCCAGUGAUGCAGAAAUACAGUCAUAACAAGUCCAUGUUCAAGCUAGAGGCAAAAUGUCUUGAUCAUCUGUAAAAGUACUCUUCAUGGUUAAUGUACUGGAGCACAUUCUUGCGUAAUCCUGUCCAUCUGUUCUGGAGUCCCCAAAGAACUGCCAUCGAUCAAUCUUUUAAUGAUGAAGCAGUCAACUGUGACAUGUCCAAGUUCUUCGACAAAAAAAAAAACAAAAAAAAGAUUGAGGGAUACAAUAGGGAUUGUGUAAUGGAGUAAGGUUGACUGAAAAUGGAGCAACCUUGAAAAGGUGAUGUUAACAUUGGAGGUAUUUCUCUCAUGUUGGAUGACAUAAAUUUUACACAGUAUUUCUCAAAAGAUCUUUUCAAAGGCAAGAAUUAAUAUGUAUACAUUACAGAAUACAUUUCUCAACUCUAGAUACUUCAUUUGGCAGUUAAAUUCAAAAGAUAGAAAUGUUUGUACUUGGAAAUAUGAAGCAAGUUCGUUUCAGGUUUAAUGAGGUUCUACAGAAUAGAGGCAUAACAUGUCCAUAAUAAAGCUGGAAGAAAAAAGUCCAAGACCAUCUGUAAUCUGUUCCUCCAUGAUGUCCCAGAUAAUGUGAAAUAAGGUUUUCAGUGACUUCAUUUUUGCCUAGAUGUUGUACAGCCUCCAGAUAAUUUCCUCUAGUAACUUUUGCCGUAUUUUCCACUUAAUAAUGCCAGAUCUAAAGAUUAGACCGUUGAAAGAAAAUCGUGAAAAGUCAUUUACCAAAGGUUAACUACAUGACGAGAAAGAGUUUUUAAAAGGUGAUAAUAAGGGUAAAGGUAUUUCUUUGUGGUAUUAAUAUAAAUCUAUGAUAACUUGUACUAGAUGCUUUUUCACAACAGCUUCUAAAGGUCUGGAAAGAAUUUAAAUACGUAGUGGAGAUCAGCACUAGAUAGUUCAUUGAAUUGUCAGCUUUAAAAUUUAGGAAAGUUUCUGUUUAACCCAUUGUUUGGAAAUAUGAAACCAGUUAGUUUCAGGUUUAAUAAGCCAGUGAUGCAGAAAUACCGUCAUAACAAGUCCAUGUUCAAGCUAGAUGAAAAAUGCCCUGGGUCAUCUGUAACAAGCUUUCUCCAUGAUUAAUGUAUUGGAGCUCAUACUGAAGCAAACUUUUACAUCUCUGGUGGAGUCUUGAUGAUGAAGCAGUUAACAGUGAUAUGUCCAAGGUCAUCGAUAGAAACUAAAAAAAAAAUCUGACAUUGAGGGAUACAGUAGGGAUUGUGUAACAGAUGAGGCUAACUGAAAAGAGCAACUUUGAAUUGGUGAUGUUAAUAUUGGAGGUAAUUCUCCUGUCGGAUACAUGUUUCAGUGAAAGGUUACAUGAAUUUUUAAAGAACAUUUUUGCACAACAGCUUUUCAAAGGCAGGAUUAACCUUCCCACUUCUAGAUACUUCGUUUAACAGUUAAAUUAAAAUAUGGAAAUGUUUGAACCAAGAAAUAUGAAGCAAGUUCAUUUCAGGUUUAAAGAGGUUCUUAUACAGGAAAGAGACAUAACAUGGCCAUAUUAAAGUUAGAAAAACGCCAUCCCUGACCAUCUGUAACCAUCCACCAUGAUGUGUCUGAUUGUGUGAAACAAGUUUCUCAGUGACUUCUUUUUUGCCUAGAUGUUUCUUCAUCUUGAACAGCUUCCAGACCAUAUCCCCUUGGAACUUUUUUCAUGUCAACUUUAACAUAGCCAUAUGCAAAGAUUAGGUCAUUGGAGGGAAACUGUGAAAGGUCACAGACCAAGGGUUAACUAGUCCACAGAAAAGGAGUUUUUAAAAGAUAAUGACGAGACUAGAGGUAUCUUUUUCGUGUUAUUAGUAUCAGUCUAUGAAAGAUUAUCGAAGUUUGUACUAGUUGUCUUGUUUUCUUUCACAACAGCUUCUAAAGGUUAAGAAAGAAUUCAAAUACAUAGUGGAGAUCAGCUCUAGAUAGUUCAUCAAUUGUAUAGUCGGCUUUAAAAUUUAGGAAAGUUUGUGUUUAACCCAUUGUUUGGAAAUAUGAAACCAGUUCGUUUCAGGUUAAGUAAGCCAGUGAUGCAGAAAUACAGUCAUAACAAGUCCAUGUUCAAGCUAGAGGCAAAAUGUCUUGAUCAUCUGUAAAAGUACUCUUCAUGGUUAAUGUACCGGAGCACAUUCUUGCGUAAUCCUGUCCAUCUGUUCUGGAGUCCCCAAAGAACUGCCAUCGAUCAAUCUUUUAAUGAUGAAGCAGUCAACUGUGACAUGUCGAAGUUCUUUGAGGAAAAAAAAAAAAAAAAAGAUUGAGGGAUACAAUAGGGAUUGUGUAAUGGAGUAAGGUUGACUGAAAAUGGAGCAACUUUGAAAAGGUGAUGUUAACAUUGGAGGUAUUUCUCUGGUGUUAGAUGACAUAAAUUUUACACAGUAUUUCUCGAAAGAUCUUUUCAAAGGCAAGAAUUAAUAUGUAUACAUUACAGGAUACAUUUCUCAAUUAUAGAUACUUCAUUUGGGAGUUAAUUCAAAAGAUAGAAAUGUUUGUACUUGGAAAUAUGAACAAGUUCGUUUCAGGUUUAAUAAGGUUCUACAGAAAAGAGGCAUAACACGUCAAUAUUAAAGCUGGAAGAGAAAAGUCCAAGACCAUCUGUAAUCUGUUCCUCCAUGAUGUCCCAGAUAAUGUGAAAUAAGGUUUUCAGUGACUUCAUUUUUGCCUAGAUGUUUGAUCGCAUUGUACAGCCUCCAGAUAAUUUCCUCUAGUAACUUUUGCCGUAUUUUCCACUUAAUAAUUCCAGAUCUAAAGAUUAGACCGUUGAAAGAAAAUCGUGAAAAGUCAUUUACCAAAGGUUAACUACAUGACGAGAAAGAGUUUUUAAAAGGUGAUAAUAAGGGUAAAGAUAUUUCUUUGUGGUAUUAAUAUAAAUCUGUGAUAAGUUGUACCAGAUGCUUUUUCACAACAGCUUCUAAAGGUCAGGAAAGAAUUUAAAUACGUAGUGGAGAUCAGCACUAAAUAGUUCAUUGAAUUGUCAGCUUUAAAAUUUAGGAAAGUUUCUGUUUAACCCAUUGUUUGGAAAUAUGAAACCAGUUAGUUUCAGGUUUAAUAAGCCAGUGAUGCAGAAAUACAGUCAUAACAAGUCCAUGUUCAAGCUAGAUGAAAAAUGCCUUGGGUCAUCUGUAACAAGUUUUCGCCAUGAUUAAUGUAUUGGAGCUCAUACUGAAGCAAACUUUUACAUCUCUGGUGGAGUCUUGAUGAUGAAGCAGUUAACAGUGAUAUGUCCAAGGUCAUCGAUAGAAACUAAAAAAAAAAUCUGACAUUGAGGGAUACAGUAGGGAUUGUGUAACAGAUAAGGCUGACUGAAAAGAGCAACUUUGAAUUGGUGAUGUUAAUAUUGGAGGUAAUUCUCCUGUUAGAUACAUGUUUCAGUGAAAGGUUACAUGAAUAUUUACAAAACAUUUUUGCACAACAGCUUUUCAAAGGCAGGAUUAACCUUCCCACUUCUAGAUACUUCGUUUAACAGUUAAAUUAAAAUAUGGAAAUGUUUGAACCAAGAAAUAUGAAGCAAGUUCGUUUCAGGUUUAAAGAGGUUCUUAUACAGGAAAGAGGCAUAACAUGGCCAUAUUAAAGUUAGAAAAACGCCAUCCCUGACCAUCUGUAACCAUCCACCAUGAUGUGUCUGAUUGUGUGAAACAAGUUUCUCAGUGACUUCUUUUUUGCCUAGAUGUUUCUUCAUCUUGAACAGCUUCCAGAUAAUAUCCCCUUGAAACUUUUUUCAUGUCAACUUUAACAUUGCCAUAUGCAAAGAUUAGAUCAUUGGAGGGAAAUUAUGGAAGGUCAUAGACCAAGGGUUAGCUAGUCCACAGAAAAGGAGUUUUUAAAAGAUCAUGACGAGACUAGAGGUAUUUUUUUCGUGUUAUUAGUAUCGAUCUGUGAAAGAUUAUCAAAGUUUGUUCUAGUUGUCUUUGUUUUCUUUCACAACAGCUUCUAAAGGUUAAGAAAGAAUUCAAAUACAUAGUGGAGAUCAGCUCUAGAUAGUUCAUCAAUUGUAAAGUCAGCUUUAAAAUUUAGGAAAGAUUGUGUUUAACCCAUUGUUUGGAAAUAUGAAACCAGUUCGUUUCAGGUUAAAUAAGCCAGUGAUGCAGAAAUACAGUCGUAACAAGUCCAUGUUCAAGCUAGAGGAAAAAUGUCUUGAUCAUCUGUAAAAGUACUCCAUGGUUAAUGUACUGGAGCUCAUUCUUGCAUUAUCCUGUUCAUCUGUUCUGGAGUCCCCAAAGAACUGCCAUUGAUCAAUCUUUUAACUCCUUGGGGCCGAAAUACGACUAAAGGCGCUAUAUUUUCUACCCCUGUUGCGUCGAUAUCCGACUAUACGCGUGUUAUCAGGACUCCCCAGGACGGCGAUUGACGAGUGUAGUCUCGGCACCGAGAUCAUGCUGAUUGCGUCACAUACUUGUUAAUUUUUGAUAAUCCUGAUAAAAGCAAAAUUAUUUUGCAUACCGGUUAUUAUUUCUUAGAUGUUAUAAUUACUAAUUAUGCUAAUAAUUAGUUUCCUUGUUAAAAUAAAUGUUUGUAAAUAUUCGGUAAAGGAAAUAAAAAAGACGAACUCCGCUGUGUUUCGUUCAUACUGUAUUUCAAAAGAUUAAAAUAAUGUCUGCUGCCCGAGAUUUUUCUUACAUUGAAGAAAAUAUUCAUUAUCAUGCUGAUUGUGACGUAUCAGUCCAUCAGAUGAUGAUUCCGACGAUGAAAUUUCAUUAUCAGAGAAAUGAAUGAUCAGAAAAUGUUAACUUUUAGAAAGCUGAAAUAUUCGUACACUUACAUCGCAUUAAAUUCAAAUGGAUAAAAAUAACACCGCAAAACAUGUUUCAUACAUAAAAAUGUGUGUAAAUAAACGCUUUUUGUAAAUUUAAUAAUUCUUCAAAGAUAGGAGUAAAUAUUACAACUUAACUGUCUCAGUGCGUGUCACACAACGUUUUUGUACAUGUUUAUAAAUAAAUUAUACAUCAAAAUAAACCAUCUAUAUUCACUCAAAAAUGGGUGUUAAUUUUGAGGAAUGCUGAUGUAAAUACUCUGUAUUAAUAAUGUAUUUCUAUUUACUAGAAUUUAAUGUGUUUACAUGUGAAAAAGUAAUAAAAUGGGAAAUGUUCAAAUAUUUAUUAAACGUAAUAGGUAUGUAAAAAUGAAUGUUUCGAAGUGAAAUUAUAAUUCUAUUUGGAUAUUAAGGACGAAAGUGGAUAAAUAUAAAUAUUUGUUCAAACUUUGAAGAUUUUAUAAGUAUAGUUUAAUUUACACCCAUGUUAAUAAUACAUCCAUGCAUGAUUUCAAUUGACUGCCUGCGAGUGUGAUUAUGAGAAAAUUGUUCUUCGACGUCAGGUGGUAAUUCUUAUCUCGCCGCAGCAUGUAUAUUAUGAUAUCGGCUUCAGGGAGUUAAUGAUGAAGCAGUCAACUCUGCCAUGUCCAAGGUCUUCGACAAAGAAACAAACAAAAAAAAACACCAACAUUGAGGGAUACAAUAGGGAUUGUGUAAUGGAGUAAGGUUGAUUGAAGAGAGAGCAACUUUGAAAAGGUGAUGUUAAUAUUGAAGGUAUUUCUCUCCUGUUGGAUGACAUAAAUUUUACACAGUAUUUCUCAAAACAUCUUAUCAAAGGAAGGAAUUAAUAUGUAUACAUUGCAGAAUUCAUUUCUCAACUCUUAGAUACUUCGUUUGGCAGUUAAAUUCAAAAGAUAGAAAUGUUUGUACUUGGAAAUAUGAACAAGUUCGUUUCAGGUUUAUGAGGUUCUACAGAAAAGAGGCAUAACACAUCCAUAUUAAAGCUGGAAAACUGUCCAAGACCAUCUGUAAUCUGUUCCUCCAUGAUGUCCCAGAUAAUGUGAAAUAAGGUUUUCAGUGACUUUAUUUUUGCCUAGAUGUUUCAUCGUGUUGUACAGCCUCCAGAUAAUUUCCUCUAGUAACUUUUGUCGUGUGGCCGACUUAAAUAUUGCCAGAUCUAAAGAUUAGACCAUUGAAAGAAAAUCGUGAAAAGUCAUUUACCAAAGGUUGACUGCAUGACGGGAAAGAGUUUUUAAAAGGGGAUAAUAAGGGAAAAGGUAUUUCUUUGUGGUGUUAAUAUAAAUCUAUGAAAACUUGUACCAGAUGUUUUUUCACAACAGCUUCUAAAGGUAAAGAAAGAAUUUAAAUAUGUAAUGGAGAUCAGCACUAGAUAGUUCAUUGAAUUGUCAGCUUUAAAAUUUAGGAAAGUUUGUGUUAAGCCCAUUAUGUGGAAAUAUGAAACCAGUUAGUUUCAGGUUUGAUAAGCCAGUGAUGCAGAAAUACAGUCAUAAGAAGUCCAUGUUCAAGCUAGAUGAAAAAUGCCCUGGGUCAUCUGUAACAAGUUCUCUCCAUGAUUAAUGUAUUAGAUCUCAUACUAGAGCAAACUUUUACAUCUCUGGUGGAGUCUUAAUGAUGAAGCUCUUAACAGUGAUAUGUCCAAGGUCAUCGAUAGAAACUAAAAAAUCUGACUUUGAGGGAUACAGUUUGGAUUGUGCAACAUAUAAGGCUGGCUGAAAAGAGCAACCUUGAAAAGGUGAUGUUAAUAUUGGAGGUAAUUCUGAUGUUAGAUACAUGUUUCAAUGAAAGGUUACAUGAAUUUUUACAGGACAUUUUUGCACAACAGCUUUUCAAAGGCAGGAAUAACCUUCCCACUUCUAGAUACUUCGUUUAACAGUUAAAUUAAAAUAUGGAAAUGUUUGAACCAAGAAAUAUGAAGCAAGUUUGUUUCAGGUUUAUAGAGGUUCUUAUACAGGAAAGAGACAUAACAUGGCCAUAUUAAAGUUAGAAAAACGCCAUCCCUGACCAUCUGUAACCAUCCACCAUGAUGUGUGCGAUUGUGUGAAACAAGUUUCUCAGUGACUUCUUUUUUGCCUAGAUGUUUCUUCAUCUUGAAUAGCCUUCAGAUAAUAUCCCUUUGGAAUUUUCUUCAUGUCAACUUUAACAUUGCCAUAUGCAAAGAUUAGGUCAUUGGAGGGAAAUUGUGAAAGGUCACAGACCAAGGGUUAACUAGUCCACAGAAAAGGAGGUUAUUAAAGAUCAUGAUGAGACUAGAGGUUUAAAUACUUAGUUGAGAUCGGCACUAGAUAGUUCAUUUAUUUGUCAGCUUUAAGAUUUAGGAAUGUUUGUUUUUAGCCCAUUGUUUGGAAAUAUGAAACCAGUUCGUUUCAGGUUUAAAAUGCGUAUGAUGCAGAAAUACAGUCGUAAGAAGUCCAUGUUCAAGGUAGAGGAAAAAUGCCCUGGGUCAUCUGUAACAAGUUCUCUCCAUCGUUGAUGUACUGGAGCUCACUCAUUCUUGAGUAAACUUUUACAUCUCUGGCGGAGCAGUCAACAGUGAUAUGUCCAAGGUCAUCGAUUAGGAACUUUAAAAAACCUGACUUUGAGGUACACAGCAGUUAUUGUGUUAUGGAAUAAGGCUGACUUAAAAGAGAACAACUUUGAAUUAGUGAGGUUAAUAUUUGAGGUAUUUCUCUCAAGUUAGGUGUAAGAAUGAAGGUUACAUUUUUACAAAACAUUUUUUGUGCAACAGUUUUUCAAAGGCAGCAAUAACAUUCUGAAUUCUAGAUUCUUUAUUUUUAAAGUUAAAUUCAAAAUAUAGAAAUGUUUAUACCAGAAAAUGUGAAGCUAGUUCGUUUCAGGUUUAAAGAGGUUUUCUAUAAUAAAAAAAAAAAGUCAUAACUUGUCCAUAAUAAAGCUGGAAGACCAGACCAUCCCCAGCCAUCUGUAGCCUGUUCCUCCAUGAUGUCCCUGAUCAUGUGACCUCAUUGUUGCCUAGAUGUCAUGUACGCCUCCAGAUAAUGCCCCAUUGGAACGUUUUUCAUGAUGUCUACUAUAAUAUUGCCAUAUGCAAAGAUUAGUUCAUUGAAAAGAAAUUGUAGAAGGUCAGAGAACAAGGGUCAAUCACAUGACAGAAAAGAGGAGUUUUUGAAAGGUGAUAAUAAUGCAAGAGGUAUUUCUUUAGUUUUGUUAUUAUCGGUCUAUUUUUACUAGUUUUUUUCACAACAGCUUCUAAAGGUUAGGAAAGAAGUUAAAUGCAUAGUGGAGAUCAGCUCUAGUGAGCUCUUUGAACACUUGGCUUUAAAAUUUAGGCACGUUUGUGUUUAACCGAUUGUUUGGAAAUAUGAAACCAGUUCGUUUCAGGUUCAAUUAGCCUUUGAUGCAGAAACAGUCAUUAGAAGUCCAUGAUGAAAAAUGUCCUUGGUCAUCUGUAGCUAGUACUCUCAUGGUUAAUUUACUGGAGCUCAUUAUUGCAUAAACAUGUCCAUUUCUUGCGUAGUCUGCUUUGAACUGCCAUUGAUCAGUCAAUGUUGACGCAGUCAACUGUGCCAUGUUCAAGGUCUUCAAGAAGCAACUAAAAAACACCCGACUUAAGACGGAUACAGUAAGGAUUGUGUAAUGGAGAAAGGUUGACCGAAAAGGGAGCACCUUUGAAAAGGUUGUUAAUAUUGGAGGUAUUUUUCACUUUUCAAAGGCAGGAAUUAAUUUGUAUAUAUUACAGAAAACCUUCAACUCUAGAUACUUCAACAGUUGAAUUCAAAAUGUAGAAAUGUUUGUACCAGGAUGUACGAAGCCAGUUUGUUUAAUGAGGCUGUUACAUAGAAGAGAGGCAUAAAAUGUCCAUGUUAAGCUAGGAGAAAGCCGUCCCCGACCAUCUGUAGCCUUUUCCUCCAUGAUGUCCUAGAGUUUGAAACAAGUUUUCAGUCACUUCUUUUAUGCCUUAGGCCCUAGAUGUUUUUUCAUCUUGUACAGCCUGCAGAAAACUUCCUCUAGGAACUUUUUCCAAUGUGCCAACUUGAAUAUUGCCAGAUGCAAAGAUUAGAUCAUUGAAAAGGAAAUUGUAAAAAGACAUAGACCAAGGUUGAACUAAAUGACUAGAAAGAGGAGUUUUUAAAGGUGAUGAUAAUACUAAAGGUAUUUUUUUCUGUGUUAUUGAUAUAUUUUUUUAUUAAUAGAAGUUAGCUUAAGGUCAGGUAAGACUUUAUACACAUAGUGGGGAUCAGCUUUAGGAAGUUCCUUAAAUAGCUUUUAUUUAUUUUUUAGUUAUAAUUUAUAUUUCUUUUAUUUUUUAGUUUUAAUUUAUAUUUAGGAGUGUUUAUGUUUAACCCAUUGUUUGGAAAUAUGACACCAGUUUGUUUCAGGGUUUGUAAGUCUCUGAUGCAGAAAUACAGUCAUUUAAAGUCUUGUGUUCAAGCUAUAGAUGAAAAAUGUCCAUGGUCAUCUCCAACAAGUACUCUCCAUUGUAAAUGUUCUGGAGCUCAUUCUUUGGUAAUCCUGUCCAUCUCUUGCGGAGUUCCCAUAGAUUAGAACCAUCAUCGAUCAGUCUUUUAAUGAUGAAGCACCAAAAAACACUUCACAUUGAGGGAUACAAUAGGGAUUUUGUAAUGGAGUAAGGUUGACUGAAAAGAGAGCAAGUUUGAAAAGGUGACGCUAAUUUUGGAGGUAUAAAUUUCUCUCGUGUUGGUUGUAUCAAUGAAAGUUACAUAAAUUUUUAGACAGUAUUUCUCAAAACAGCUUUUUAAAGGCAGGAAUUAAUUUGUAUAUAAUCCAGGAGACUUUUCUUAACUCUAGGUACUUCAUUAAACAGUUAAAUUCAAAAUAUAGGAUUGUUUUGUACCAGGAAAUGUGAAGCUUAGUUUGUUUCAGGUUAAAUGAUGUUCUUAUACAGAAAAGAGGCAUAACUUGUUCAUAAUAAUGUUAGAAGAAAAAAGUCCCUGACCAUCUGUAACAGUCCUCCAUGAUGUCCCUGUUUGUUUGAAACAAGUUUCUCAGUAACUUCAUUAUUGCUAAGAUGUUUCUUCAUCUUGAACAGCCUCUGGUUUAUUUCCCCUUGGAACAUUUUUCAUGUUGCAGACUUUAUUGUUGCCAUAUGCAAAGGAAAUUGUAAAAAGUUAUCAAUUGGGCAAGGGUAAAACUACAUGACAGGACAGAAGAGAUUUAAAAGAUGAUGAUUAAACUAGAGGUACUUUAGUGUUAUUUAUAUCAGUCAAUGAAAGAUUAUGGAAGUUUCUACCAGUUUUUUUUUUUUCACAACUGCUUUUAAAGGUCAAGAAAUAUUUUAUACACUUAUUGGGGAUUAGCUCUAGAUAUUUUUGAAAUAGCUUUAAAAUUUAGGAACUUUUGUGUUAAACCGAUUGUUUGGGAAAUAUGAAACCAGUUUGUUUCAGGUUUGUAAGUAUGAAACCAGUUGUUUCAGGUUUAAUAAGCCUCUGAUGCAGAAAUAAUCAUAGGAAGUCCAUGUUCAAGCUAGAUGAAAAAUGUCCUUGAUCAUCUGUAACAUGCACUCUCAUGGUUACUGUACUGGAGCUCAAUUUUGCGUAAUGUGUACAUAUUUUGCGGAGUCUGCAUGGAACUGUCAUUGGUCAGCCUUUUUAAUGAUGAAGCAGUCAACAGUGCUAUGUCCAAGGUCAUCGAUGAGAGUAAAAAACAACGGGGAUACAGUAGGAUUGAGUAAUAGAGUAAGGUUGACUUGGAGAGCGCCUUUGACAAGGCGAUGUUAAUAUUGGAGGUAUUUCUCUGUUAGAUGUAUCAAUGAAAGGGCACAUAAGUUUUUACAUAGAUUUUUUACAACAGCUUUUCAAAGACAGGAAAUAAUUCAUAUGCAGUCUGGAAAACAGUCAUUGCCUCUAUAUAGGUCAUAAGAGUCCGCUGUAAAAGUUGGCAAUGUAUGUAGCUGGAAAUAAGAAACCAGUUUUUUUCACGUUUUAUCAGGCAUUGAUGCAGAAACAAGCAAUAACAAGUCUUUAAGGUAUAAGAAAAAUGUCCUUGGUCAUCUGGAACAAUUUCUCCAUAAAUUUCUCUGGUCAUCUAGAUAACUCAAUUGGACGCCACUAUUGUGUAGGUGUUUCAUUAUCUUGUACAGUCUUCGGAUAAUUUCCCCAUAAAUUUUCACGAUGACCACACAAUACAGCUGCAUCCAGACCAGGUGAUAGAAAAAUUGUAAAAUAGUCAUCGAGGAUGAGCUAUAUGAAAUGGAAUAAGCUUGACAUGACAGGCAAGAGGAGUUUUUUAAAGAUGAUGUCAACAUCAUAGGUAUUUCAUGUUUGAUAUAUCAAUGAAAAAUUGUACCUUUCUUUUCAACUCUAGGUCAAGAUUUAUUCCUAAUACACUUCUUUGAAAUAUCAGUAUGCUUUAUUUUAAUUAACUUUCAAAAGAUAUAGAAAUGUUUGUAUUUAACCCAUGGUUUUGAAAUACGAAACCAGUUGGUUUCAGAUUUAAUCAGCCUACGUUGCAGAAACAAGAGCUGUAGCCAGUCCAUAAGAGAAUGUCGAUCAUAUUAACGAGUUUCUUGACAAGUGUAUUUUGCCUUGUGUGUAGACACUUCAUCUUGUAUGGUCUCCAGAUAAUUACCCCAUAGAGCAGUUUCUGAAAAUUCAGUGGUGGAUGUAUCAGUCGUGCCAAGUCAAAGAGAAUUGUCAAAAGCAUCAUUGUCAUUGAUGGUUGCAUUUGACCUGUGAAAUUGAAUUAUCUCAACAGAAUAGAGGAGAAUAAGCUUUAACAUUAAUUAAUACACCUUAGAGGUAUUUCUUGCAUGUUAGUUGUAUCAAUACAAGCUUAAGUAAGCAACUUUUUUUCAUUGCUUUUUUCAUUAAUGCUUUUUAAGGUCGGGGAAAGAAUUCAUACACAAAGUGGGAAAAAAUAGUUG